rnacentral:rRNA from 1 species
UGGGGAAUUUUGGACAAUGGGCGAAAGCCUGAUCCAGCAAUGCCGCGUGUGUGAAGAAGGCCUUCGGGUUGUAAAGCACUUUUGUCCGGAAAGAAAUCCUUGGCUCUAAUACAGUCGGGGGAUGACGGUACCGGAAGAAUAAGCACCGGCUAACUACGUGCCAGCAGCCGCGGUAAUACGUAGGGUGCAAGCGUUAAUCGGAAUUACUGGGCGUAAAGCGUGCGCAGGCGGUUUGCUAAGACCGAUGUGAAAUCCCCGGGCUCAACCUGGGAACUGCAUUGGUGACUGGCAGGCUAGAGUAUGGCAGAGGGGGGUAGAAUUCCACGUGUAGCAGUGAAAUGCGUAGAGAUGUGGAGGAAUACCGAUGGCGAAGGCAGCCCCCCUGGGCCAAUACUGACGCUCAUGCACGAAAGCGUGGGGAGCAAACAGGAUUAGAUACCCUGGUAGUCCACGCCCUAAACGAUGUCAACUAGUUGUUGGGGACUUCAUUUUCCUUAGUAACGUAGCUAACGCGUGAAGUUGACCGCCUGGGGAGUACGGUCGCAAGAUUAAAACUCAAAGGAAUUGACGGGGU